CAAUGACAUUGGACCAAUGUUAAACUUUAUCAAUCUGUAGCUUUAUCAUCCGUUUAUGGCAAACAACUAUGUAAGUUAAAUAUUUAUUACUAAGGUUUAUAUUUUGUAUGUGCAUAGUUAUUUUUGAUGCAAAUAAGUUAAUUAUGAGGUUCUAGAGUAAAGUAUUUACAUUCAUUUUUCCUACAUGAUAUUUUGAGUAAGGAACCCCGUCUGAGCUAUAUUUCUAGUAUUCAUGCUAAAGCAUUUGUCAAGUUUGAAUAUUUCAUAGCACAUUCAUUUAUUUAAUAUGAUAUUGAAGUGGUUAAAUGCUGUUUUUUUGUAUCUACUAAACUUCCUCAACUAUGUCAAUUUUUAGCAAGAAAAUUACACUUUUAUUGUUGUAUUUUUGGUUCAAUAUAAUAGCCUUUCCAAAUACAUUAUGGUAUUUUCAUUCUUGUUGCAGCUUUUUACCUGCAUACACAGUUGUCUAUAUACAUUCAUGCCAGAAUUAGGAAUAAACUUUACUAUGAGCAAUGGUGUUUUAGUUAACUGUAUGGUUAUCUAUCUGCUGAGUACCUUAGCGGAAUAAAUCAUGAACAGUUCACUCUGUUGAGGCACAAUAUAGAAGCUUGAAACUGUCUGAAUUUGGACUGAGAUCAAAAUGUUUUACAUACUAGUAUUAUAUGUCAUUAACCAGUUAACAUUAUCCUAAUAUUUUUCUCAAAAGAAAACAAUUAAUACUUUUACCAAAAGGACAUGUUAUCAUUUAUAAAAUUACCGCA
rnacentral:lncRNA from 1 species